UGUGGUUCUAAAAAUAAAGUUAGUUUCUUUUGACAAGUGGCUCCUGAUCGUGCCCAGCCAGACUGCGGCAGUCCUUUGUUAGUUACAUGUGUCCUAAAUAUCUUUCCCAGUUUGUUGACUUUGUGGUAUCUUUUGAGAAAACAGACUUUGUUUUUUGACUAGGGAUUGAACCCAGGGCCUCUCACAAACUAGGCAAGUGCUCUACCACUGGGCUAUGCCCCCGUCUCCCUUUUAAAAUUUUAUUUUGAGACAGGGUCUCACUAAUUGGCCCAGACUGGCCUCAAACUCAUGAUCCUCCUGCCUCAGCCUCCCAAGUGGCUGGGAUUACAGGUGUGCACUAUCAUGCCUGGCUUCCAGUUUUAAAUGUUAAAGUAGAGAAUUAUUUUAUAUUUUCAUUUAUGUUUUAUACUUUUUGUUCUUGCUUAACAAAUUGUUGAUACCCCCAAAAUAAAAAUUAUUCUAUGUUCUUCUAAAAAUUUAAAAAAUUUCCCUUCACAGGAAUGUCCUUACUGUCGUGUUCCACAACUAAACACUCA
rnacentral:lncRNA from 1 species